AUAUGGCUUAUGGCAGAAAUGCUCGUAUACACUUUUAUAUAGGUCUAAGUAUAUUUAUUAUAUUUACAUUUACAUAUUGUCUAUUCUUUGUAAGUAUUUCCCUGUUUACUCCCUCCCUUUCAUUGCCAUUAAUGCCUGGUUUGGGGCCCACACUUAACUUUCUAGGGACUCACUGUCCUCCAUUCCAAUAAUAUCCAAAAGGAGGAAAAGAGAAAGCUUCCUCCCAGAUGUCCUUAAAAUCCUUCUCCAGAGGGCCUCAGGGAUUUCAUAUGUCUUUCCUAAAUUAGUCACUGGUGAGGGCAAUCUCAAAGAUCAUAAUUUAGACUAACCAGAUGAGGAAACUGUUCAGCUUCCCUUGAAGCAUAUAACUUCCCCCAAAUGUGCACCAAGGUAAGAUUCUCUGAGAGGGAAGUGGAGCCUGUGUGGGUGUGUGUGUGUGGGUGGGAGGGAAGCACACCUGCCCCACAAUCACAGGAUUAUGGUAGAAACGAGAUGACCCGAGAGAUGGGGAAGAAGAAAGAUCUAUACGACAUUAUUAGGUGGAGAACUGUGAAGUGUUAAAUAUGGGAUAUUUUCUCACAAACUACUAGCUUGGCAGUUGUUUUAUCCAUAAAAAAAAAAAAAAGAACAAACACCAUGUCCUGACACGUCCCUUUCCAUUCCCAAGAACCUAGCCAAGCCAAGGGAACAAUGAGAGUGGGCCCAGACCAGCAUGUCCAGAUAAGGAUUAUCUGGAAGGACACUGACUAUCUCUCAUGAAAACUAGGGCAAACGAGUGUUCUCUGUAGAAACUGCUUUCUUGCACCGAUGCCAAGCUUCUUGGAGUGUUGGUCAUAUAAUGGGAUAAAGCAAGCCAAUGAUGUCACAGUUUCUGUAAUCUACCCUAUACACUCCCCCCUGUGGUAACGGGUAUGGAAUCUCUUUGAGUACGGUGGAGAAAGAGGCGCUUCUCAGGUCGGCCACCACAGGACAAAGUUCCAUGAGGAUUGGAGAUGCUACUCUCUGGAGAAGCACUGUGAGGGGCAGAGGUCACCACCGGAUCUUCUCCAUAAGCAGUUUUCUACAAAUCUUAUUUUUGAUGAAUAUCCAGCAGAAGGAAGUUCCUCCAAUUGGAAUGUGUCUGAUAUUUUUCUCAUAACCAGAUUGAGAUGAUGGGGUUUGGGAAGGAAGAUCACAGAGGUCAACUGCCUUUCUUACGACAUCAAAUCAGGGGUACACAUUAUCAAGAUGAGUGAACAUCCUUGAUGUUGAUCUUGAUGGCCUGCCUAAGGUGAUGAUUGGCAGGUUUCUCCCAGCUCACUGCACUCUUGGAAGGAAGUUCUUAUGCACAGUGCCCACUCAAGGAUUGGGAAGUUGUGUGCCACCUCCUCCAGGGCACAGGAGCUCCAUAACUAAUUUGGCAAUUUUCUGCGUAGAGAUGGAUUGUGUCUUUCUUGGAAAAUAGCUUUGUCAUUUGCCAUCUGCGUGACCACUGAGGAUGUGAAGCUUGCUGACUGGAAGCCUGCCUGCCAGAACAGGAUCCUUCUGUGCACACCAGAAACAAUCUGCUAUUGUCUUCAGGGAUAAAUUGGUGCCAACAAAAAAUGAAAACUCCCAGCCAAGAGAAGGAAUACUGCAUUAACUGCUUCACCACUAAAGAAGCUGUUACCUCGAGGAUGGUGCCAAGCCAGGACUGAGGGGAAGAUAGGAGAGUGUGCAUAGCUUAAGGGAAGAGGAAGAAAUGCAGUAUUCGUGGAAGAAACCGAAAAGGAGAAGCAAGAGAGAAAAGACCACAGAAAGUAAACUAAAUUAGGUUUGGUCAAAAUGAGCCCCUGAACUCAAAAAGUUUGUGACUGAAAUUAUAGUGGGGAAAAAAGCAAGUUUGCUCUCAUAUGAUCUCAUGCAUAGUUGAUCCUGAAAGUUUGAGUGUGUACACUAAUCACCCUUACAGCAGUGUUUGGCAAGUUUGGCUGAUGUAUCCAGUGGCUCUCUGUUUUCCAAGGAUUAACACACUUUGUUGUGGCCUUAGUUCUCCAAUAGCAAUGGCAAGGUCAUCCAGUUCAGGUGUCACCAAGACAAGCAGCAUACUCACAGUUCACAACUAGCCUCACUUGUAUGCCAACACUCAAAAAGUACAACCUAAACAAAUACUUGUUUUCUUGUUUAAAUCUUGUCUUAAGUUCUGUAAAAGAAUUUUUUUUUUAAAUCAACUCCCCAGUUAAUAAAAACAUCCUUAUCAAU